GAAUAUAGCUUAGUGUUAGAGCACUUGCCUAAUAUGCAUGAGACCCUGGGUUCAAUCCCCAGAAUCA
rnacentral:tRNA from 1 species